AGUCUCUCCAACCCAGCGAGUAUUAGGGGCGGGGGUGGGGUGGGGGAGUAAGCCGGGGUAGCCGGGAGCUGCGGUGCAGGAAGUGAACCGCAUUGUGUGGUGGUGGCUCACACUAGUGCCCUGAGGACCGGCCCACUUCCUCGCCUAAAUUUUGCACAUGGAGUCUGAUCUCACUGAAGACCGUCUCUCCGAGCUAACAAUAGAGCCCCUCGGUUUGUCAGGUAGGGACAAAGGGAAUGAAUAUUCACCAAGUUAAUCCCUUCUAGUUCUUCAGUGGGAAAGAGAUGGAAGAGGCAGUAAAACAAUUAUCCAAACUUCCUUAGCUAUCUUGGCUGGGCGUGGUUUGGCUGAAUAAUAUUCCAUUACCACAUAUACAUCUUCCAUAGUAGAUGUUGUGUUUUUAUUUCUCCACGGAUGGACACUUGGGCAAGUCCCACCUUCCGCCGUUCUGAAUGAUGCUACUGUGAACCGGUGUCCAAGUGUCUGUUCAACUCCCUGCUUCCAUUCCUUUGGAUGCUUAUCUAAAAGUAGACUUGCUGGGUCACGUGGCGCUCUGUGUUUAACUUUCUGCAAAGCCAUGAUCAGGCUGUUUUGAUGCAUGAGUAGGAAAAAGAAGAAGAAGAAGAAGAAGAAGAAGAAGAAGAAAAGAAGAAGAAGAAGAAGAAGAGGAUGAGGAGGAGGAGGAGGAGGAAGAGGAGGAGGAGGAAGAGGAGGAAGAGGAAGAGGAAGAAGAGGAAGAUGCUUCUGGGCUCUCCUGGCUUCAUGGGGGAUGUAAUUCUUAUGCUACGAAGUUCACCAUUUUAAGGCCUUCAAUAUUAAACAUCAUCUCCACCAUGAAACCAAGGAGUACCCUUCUCUUGCUCAUGAUGGUAUCCCUUCCACAUAGUCUGGCCUACAGUAGUUACUCAAUAAAGUUUGACUUAAUUGCAUGCUUGAAUAAAAA
rnacentral:lncRNA from 1 species